ACCGCUCUAGAAUGUAAUUUAACUACUUCUAACUAGUGCUUGCCAGAAAGUAAUACGAUUGUUGCAAUUUCAGAAGUAAUGGAACAAAAAGUCGAGUAUAGUAAACAAAGAAUAUGCGGAUUAGUUUCUCAUUGACACGUAAGGCAAUUCAGUUUUUGUUUUAGCCUGGAAGACAACGUUCCCCACUACGAGAACCUCUCGUUUCGGGCCCCGUCCUCCCUGAUCUGAUGCCAUCUCCCUAAUGCGUUUUCGCCAAUCGUCCACACUGUUAAGAUCAAAAAGACUCACAAAGACCCCAUCCCAUGAAUUUGAUUACUUGUUAUCUUCUUUCUUUCUGUGUAUAUGUGUUUUUUUUUUUAUUAACCCGUAUAUUUUUUGCUAGAUGAAGCAGCUGCCGGAAAGACAGCUUAUGAGCCUCAGACAACUGACACAGGAGCUUCAUAUCCAAGCCUUCCUCCGCCAGGUGUCCCGCCUGGGUUCCAAUGUAUCAGAAAAGUAAAAAAGAUCGGGUCACUACAAAGGAUCACCACAAUAUGCAGACGCCCCUCUAGUGGCAAGACAACGAGGCAACAAACACAGACUCAAACGACGCUAAAAGAAAUUUAAACCGCUGGGAGCCAGAAAUGUCGAAUGAUGCCGAAACAACAUGAACUAUUGAAACAAAUAUGUCUUCAAUCUGACGGAUAUAGUAUAUUCAAAGCCACUUUUUAUUUUAUCUUAAUAAGGCUCGAUACACUUUUUGGAAAUUUUUCGAAACUGUGAUCUAAUGGAGGCUUAUAGUAUUGUACAGUUCGCAAACCGUUUGCUAAGCAAGACAGAAAAAAAAAUGCGAAACGUUUAGGGUCCGAACUGUUCAACAAUAGUUUCUUAUUUCACUUUGCGGCUUCAUGCUUCAGUUCAAAUAAAAAGAAGAAUCAAAUCCAAAAGCAAUUUAUAAAGAUAUCCUGCAUGUGCAUAAUGCGAGAUCUUAAAAAGAGAAACUGAGGGUGAAUUGUAAGUUAUACCCGAUUUUUUUCUCUGACGAAGGGUAUACGCUCAAAACGUCUACACUCCAAAUUCGAUGUACGAAGUUAAUUUGUCGUUGGCCUUGAUAGACAACAUGGUAAUUUACUUGCCUACAUCAACAGUUUCUUUACCGUAAGUAAUUGUCUUGUUCAUUUGUGAAAAAUUAUGGUUUUGAGAGCCGGAAGGUAUGCUGAGCGAAAUUUCGAGUUCCACCUCAAAGAUGAUGAAUUGUUUCCUUUUCACCAGAUGUGAAAUGCGAUUGUGGAUUCCGUCGCACUUGUGUCGGGUAUGUC